AACAAGAAGGCAGAACAUAAUAAUAAACAUCAUGGUAACAACUUAUGGAUGGAUCUGACAUGAACAUGCACUUAUAUCUAAUAAAAUGUAAUAUAGGUUUUAUAUAUCUAUGUAUCUAUAUACACACAUACAAAUAUAUCUAUAUACAUAUCUACCCAUCCAUCCAUCCAUGUAUAUAUAUGACAAGUGUGCAUUCUUUCUAAAAUGAAGCACUAAAAACAUGGAGAAGCCGGGUGGUGGUGGUGCAUGCUUUUAAUCUCACCACUAUGGAGGGAGAGGGAGAGGCAGAGGCAGGUGGAUUUCUGAGUUUGAGGACAGCAUGUUUUACAGAGUUAAGUUCCAGCCAGGACUACACAGAGAAACCCUGUCUCAAAAAACAAACAAAAUAAUAACAAACACCCUGGAGAAUACUUUCUCAAAGUACAGACAACAAUGGAGAGAGGACAUCCAUAGUCCAUAGAAAUACAUGCUUGCCAAGGUAAAAUUCUUGACUCUCAGAUGCACAAACACUCUGAAGUAUCAUAGAUACUACCUCCCACUUUUGAGUUUCAACACCAACUGGUAUAGAUUCUAAAUUAUGUAAUUAAUUUCUGUUCUUUUUCAAUCUCUCUACUGUCUUCUCUAAGGCACAUGUUCAUUUAAUAUGAACACUUAAAAGCAGUAACAUCACACAUUCCAGUUGCUUCCCCAUGGCCUUUUUUCUUAACAGUUGUCUCUGUAUUUAGGAAACAGUUAAGAUACUGCAGAGCACUGGUUGCUCUGAAACCCCAGUCAAUGCCUUCCUGUCUUGAUCCCAAGGCACUCAAAAGAAGUCCUAAUUGAAAAGAACACAAACAUAAAAAGCUGAUACAUUUUAAUUAAGAUUAUAAAAAUUGGUUUAUUGUAAAAGAAAUUCAAGAAUAACCAGUUAAAUUCUUAUCCGCAUGCUACCCACUACAGCCAGGAAGCACUAACCACUUUUACAUCAGGGAGGACACAAGGAAGACUGCAUCGAGGCCGUGAUUCAGGGAAGGGAGCUCAGGUCCCCCGCAGUCAGCACAAGGGUUUGAUAAGGUCAGAGCUGUCAGGUACCGAGGGCUGCUGGACACUGAGGUAUUACAGGCAAACGUUCCCGAGGGGAAGACAGCACAUCUCACUUGGUGGGUGAGCUUAAGCGGUUCAAAGUUUAGGAACAACUUCUUUACUGACAGCGAGAUGCGAGCUCAGUCUUGAUUGAAGAGAAAGAAGCUAUGAAAGCUUUGCUAUCACGGCCUCACUACCUUCACCAGCCCACGCCCACCUUCCCACCCUCCCCCACACUAAAGCUAGUUUGCCCAGAGGGUGCGGUCUGACUCUGUGGCUUACUGGCAAAUGGUAGGCACUCAUCAGUGCCCUAUCAUCUGCACACUCACCACACACUGUUGUCUGCCAUCCCGCUGCUCAGUUUUGAAUUAGAGUAGAAUUCCAUUUCUGUUCUAAAGUCAAUGCAUCCUCCUGGUGGCCGUUUCCCCAGACCUAAUUCAAGGGUGAGUCUUCAGCUAGUUUCUUAGUAAAAGCCUUAGAGUCGAUGGCUACAAAUGACUAGGAAUCAUCAUGUAUAAUACACGGAUUCUGACUAUGAAUCAUCAUAUAUAGUACACUGAUUGCAUUUUUUUUUGAGCACUCCAAGUACUGAAUAAAACUUUUCUACUUCCAUUCCUGCACCCCACUAAAACAAAGGGCCAAUAGAUUUCUACCUUCCUAAGCUGAGGCUUUUCAUAGCAGCUUUAGCCAGGGAAAGAAUUUGUUCAUUAAAAACCCUUGAAAAUAAGGGAUUCUUCUAAAAGCAUCCAAAAACCCUUAAAUGACAGCGGUGCUAGCUGAUGCCACUACAACUCAUAACCAACUACUACUUCAUAGCUUAUACUGAAGAGUUAAUUCAUGCUUAUUUGUUCCUUUAAAAAAUACUCUUUGGAAACCAUCGUUACUCCUGGAGACACAUACUCUAGCAAUCUCUCUUCUUGUAAAAAUAAAGGCAUAAUCAUGCUAUCUUUAGCUCUUUGCUAAGUUCAACUACCCCACACAUUCACUAGUCUGACCACUUUACCAGCCGACUCAUGACCUCACAGCAUUCUACACACUCCCCCAGGGUCCAUUCAGCAGGAAAGUGUGAGCAGGUUUUGUAAGAAUGAUCCUGUAGGUAACAUUUAGUCUGGUCUUCAUUGUGUUCACUAUAAACGAGAACUCAAGUACCCACGCUUGCAUCCCAAACUGAGGCGAAGGCAAAAGGAAGGCCCGCCUCUAAAGCUCACUCCUGCUCAGUGACUGCCCAACAUGAAUCGGUCCAAGGGGGAGUGAGGCCACUUGUUUGCUUCUGUCCAAGUCACCAAAGUGUAUAGAGGGCAAGAGAGCGCCUCUAGGCUUCACCCACAACAAGAGCCCUUUCUAGAACACUGCCCUACCUCAAACACCUGCAGGUUGCCCCAACCAGAAUUUAAACUAUUUGUGAAACAUAAACUACUAGUCAUGUAUUCUAAAUGCUUAUGUUCAAGGCUACCAUUUAAAAAAUAAACUGAGGAGGGUAACCU